rnacentral:tRNA from 2 species
GGGGGGUUAGCUCAGUUGGUAGAGCGCGUCGUUCGCAAUGACGAGGUCAGGGGUUCGAAUCCCCUACUCUCCACCA